rnacentral:rRNA from 1 species
GACCUGCCCACUGAAAUUAUUUGAAGGGCCGCAGUAAUUUGACUGUGCAAAGGUAGCAUAAUCAUUAGUUUUUUAAUUAAAAGCUUGUAUGAAGGGUUGGACGAGGUAAAUUCUGUCUCUAUUUAAUUUAAUAUAGAAUUUAAUUUUUAAGUUAAAAAGCUUAAAUUUUUUUAAAAGACGAGAAGACCCUAUAGAUCUUUAUAUUAUAAUUAUUAAUUUUAAUUAAGAAUAUUUUAUUUUUUAUUAUUUAUAUUAUUUUAUUGGGGUAAUAAAAAGAUUAAUUGAAUUCUUUUUUUAUUUUUACAUUAAUAAAUGAUUAUAUGAUCCAAUUUUAUUGAUUAAAAGAUUAAGUUACCUUAGGGAUAACAGCGUAAUUUUUUUAGAGAGUUCAUAUCGAUAAAAAAGUUUGCGACCUCGAUGUUGGAUUAAAAAUUAUCUUAGGUGCAGAAGUUUAAGAUUUUGGUCUGUUCGACCAUUAAAUUUUUACAUGAUCUGAGUUCAGACCGGUGUAAGCCAGGUCGGUUUCUAUCUUUAAUAAAAUAAAAUAUUUUAGUACGAAAGGACCAAGUAUUUAAUAUAUAUAUAUUUAGUUUUUUGAAUAU